rnacentral:lncRNA from 1 species
UUCUCAUCCAAAACCCUAGACAACUUUUCCUCUCCCAUUCAUCCGUCUGCCACCUCCUAACUUCUCCUCUCAAAUCUCUAAUGUUGUCAAUGGAUUCAGCACCAUAUCCGCCGCUGCGCAUCCUCCAAACCCACCAUGGCCACCACUGCGCAUCCUCCAAACCCACCAUGGCCGCCGCUGCACAUCCUCCAAACCCUAGAUCUGAUACCAGAGUACUCUAGAUAGUUGCUUUGGACCUGGGCUUAUGGUUCAAAGAAUGUUAUUUUUGUUUCAGUUGCUCCGGACCUGGUAUUAUGGUUCAAAGAAUAAUUGAGAUGACUUUUGUAGGUCAUAUUGGUUAUAACACAGGCAAGACCAAGAAAAACGCUUGGAGUAAUAAACAAUAAAUAAAAGCCAAAUUGAAGAAACUCAAGUUUUGCUAUGCGAUUAAAGACAACAUGAUUUCAAACUCAAGUUUAGCAGUUUUUGACAGUUUUUUCUGUGCGUUACGCAAUUUUUGUGUUGGGUUCAGGUUUCCAGCAACAAAUCUUCAUUCAUUUAUACUUUGUAUGUAGACUAACAUGUGUUGCUUUAUAUGUGUAGUUAAUGUUUCAGAUCUAGAAUGUCACCUGCCUAUGAUUUGUUAAUCUAGCCGAACAAGAGAGCCAGGGUUGACUCGAGGUGCAUCCUAAUACAACGAGGUUAACUUUACAAGUUGUAAGUGUUGAAGUUGACAAUAUACGCGCACUGAAGGUGAGAUUGUAUACUUUCAUAUGGGAAGGGGAUGCAGCAACAACUGAGCGACAAACGAGCUGAGAUAAGACUCUCAAAUCAUAGACCCGUUAUAUGUUAGAAGUUGAAGCGUUUUCAUUAAAAAAGUUACAACGGGCCAUUUCCUGAUGCGGAAAUGGAAAACUAUUGCUCGACGUGUUUAAGAUAAAACAAGUCGGCGUUUUUUAUUUGCAUCCGUAUUAGGAUUGUAGUUUCACUUUGUC